rnacentral:rRNA from 1 species
AUUGAACGCUGGCGGCAUGCCUUACACAUGCAAGUCGAACGGCAGCACGGGAGCAAUCCUGGUGGCGAGUGGCGAACGGGUGAGUAAUAUAUCGGAACGUGCCCAGUCGUGGGGGAUAACGUAGCGAAAGCUACGCUAAUACCGCAUACGAUCUAUGGAUGAAAGCGGGGGAUCGCAAGACCUCGCGCGAUUGGAGCGGCCGAUAUCAGAUUAGGUAGUUGGUGAGGUAAAGGCUCACCAAGCCGACGAUCUGUAGCUGGUCUGAGAGGACGACCAGCCACACUGGGACUGAGACACGGCCCAGACUCCUACGGGAGGCAGCAGUGGGGAAUUUUUGGACAAUGGGCGGCAAGCCUGAUCCAGCAAUGCCGCGUGCAGGA